UUACUUCAUUGUUGUAUUGCAGU
rnacentral:piRNA from 1 species